UACGUAGGGUCCAAGCAUUAUUCGGAAUUAUUGGGCGUAAAGGGUUUCUAGGUGGUAAAGCGGGUCUUCGGUAAAAUCUCCCGACUCAAUCGGGAAUCGGCCGAAGAAACUACUUUGCUCGAGGAUGGCAGGGGCAUGCGGAAUUUCCGGUGUAGCAGUGAAAUGCGUUGAUAUCGGAAAGAACACCAAUGGCGCAGGCAGCAUGCUAGGCUAUUCCUGACACUGAAGAACGAAAGCGUGGGGAGCGAAC
rnacentral:rRNA from 1 species